rnacentral:lncRNA from 1 species
GUAGACAGCAGGAAAGAGAACUGAGUGGUGAUAAAACUCCAGACCCUUUGGACCUGAAAGAAGCCAUCACUUAAAGGAUGAGACCC